AACGAACGCUGGCGGCAUGCCUAACACAUGCAAGUCGAACGAGACCUUCGGGUCUAGUGGCGCACGGGUGCGUAACGCGUGGGAACCUGCCUUUAGGUUCGGAAUAACUCAGAGAAAUUUGAGCUAAUACCGGAUAAUGUCUUCGGACCAAAGAUUUAUCGCCUUUAGAUGGGCCCGCGUAAGAUUAGCUAGUUGGUGGGGUAAAGGCCUACCAAGGCGACGAUCUUUAGCUGGUCUGAGAGGAUGAUCAGCCACACUGGGACUGAGACACGGCCCAGACUCCUACGGGAGGCAGCAGUGGGGAAUAUUGGACAAUGGGCGAAAGCCUGAUCCAGCAAUGCCGCGUGAGUGAUGAAGGCCUUAGGGUUGUAAAAGCUCUUUUACCCGAGAUGAUAAUGACAGUAUCGGAGAAUAAGCUCCGGCUAACUCCGUGCCAGCAGCCGCGGUAAU
rnacentral:rRNA from 1 species